rnacentral:rRNA from 1 species
UUAUCUGGACGUUACCCACAGAAGAAGCACCGGCUAACUCCGUGCCAGCAGCCGCGGUAAUACGGAGGGUGCGAGCGUUAAUCGGAAUUACUGGGCGUAAAGGGUGCGUAGGUGGUUUAGUAAGUUAUCUGUGAAAUUCCUGGGCUCAACCUAGGGUGGUCAGAUUAGACUGCUGGACUAAGAGUAUAGGAGAGGGUAGUGGAAUUUCCGGUGUAGCGGUGAAAUGCGUAGAGAUCGGAAGGAACACCAGUGGCGAAGGCGGCUACCUGGCCUAAUACUACACUGAGGCACGAAAGCGUGGGGAGCAAACAGGAUUACAUACCC